rnacentral:lncRNA from 1 species
AUGCUGUUGCUGUGCUCAAACUUGCUCUUACGGGAUUGUAUUUUUGCUAGCAAGUGUUGGACCGCUGCACCAGUGAGCGCAGGGCUGCGCAGGUGUCCCCCGAGCUGUACGCAGGAGCUGCUAGCUGAAUUACCGUCUGAUCUCGCUUCAAACCCCAUCCUGAUUGAGCAAGUUGAUCUAUUCUGUUUUCUGCCUGUCCACCCUGAUCCUUCCUUGGAAAUUGUCUUUGAGUGCCUCGCUGAAGAAGAGAGAUGUUAAUACUCUAAAUAACUGUGUGAUGGUCUGACUUUGUGGUUUAUAAGGGAAAAGAAGUUCUCGUUGAUUAUUUUUGUAAGUACUUGUUUGAUGGAUCACUCAGGUUCAAAGGUCUUUCCAGUGUUUGAGUAUUUUACUUCCAAGGAUUAUCUGGAAGCAUGUGUUUAUCUGCGUUUCUUUUUCCCUGCUUAUGUGGCUUCUUGCUUCAGAAGGAGAUGGAGCUGCUAAGAAAUCCGUGUGUUGAUGCAGUUAGCAACAACCUUCCACCAUUCCCACCUCUGAGGCUGGGGGAGAGGGAAAAAACUUGUCAUGCUUUUGAUACCUCAAAAAAGAAAGAAAAAAAAAUGAAGUGCUUCCUCUCUGGGACUUGUAUCCGCAAGGAACGUCUCAGACUGGACCACGCUGUGUGACUUCAGAUAUCUUCUUUCUGCACGUGGCUUAGUUCUCCUUUGCAGAGGCAGCUCACCCUGUAAGGGAGCCACGUCUUUCAAGCUGAAUCUCUGUAAGCAUGGCCUGCAUUAAGCUGCUUCGAAAGGAGAGACGUUACCAGUUACAUUUAAAGUAUUAGAGUGGAAAAGAACGCAGGGAACCCAUGGCACAUCUUCCAGGCCUAAGUUCAUGCCUUUUCCUGUCCAGGGCAGUGUGUGAGGACAGCUGUGUGGUCGGUAUGAGCACCUAGCCUUCAUAAAACCUGUUUGACCUAGAAUAUGCUGUUGAACUAUUUUCUCCGGGGAAAAGCGACAGGAACGCUUGUGAACGUGUGUUAGAAACCUGUAGAGAAACUCCAAGCGUGGAUGCAAAUAAACUCUCUGAAUUCGCCGUUGAAUGUGUCUCG